rnacentral:tRNA from 2 species
UAUGUUUUAGUAUAUGAUGUAUAUAGGUUUUUGAUACCUAAGGUAGUAGUUUAAUUCUAUUAAAUAUAA